rnacentral:rRNA from 1 species
AUGUUCUGCCCAAGCAGACGUCUGCUCCAUCCCCAGAUCCCCGCUCGCCCCUGCAACACACGGGCCGAUUCCGCACGCCGCUGGUUCUCCACCUCCCCUCCCUCUCCUCGCUACAGGACGCCGCUGGGCGAAGCUCGGCCCGCGUCGGCGGCGCCGGGGUCACUCUCCUGCCUCAAGCAGCGUCGGCGGCGCGGGACGCAGCGGGCUCGGCCUGUCACCGACGCGAGUGUCCCUCUCGAGCGGCGGCGGUGGCGGAUUCAGCGGACGCGGGCCAUGGCGGCGGCGGCGGCGGUGGACGCAGCGGGCUCGGCCUGCGUCGGCGGCGGCGGGUCCAUCUCCUUUCUCGAGUAG